ACGGUUAAAAUAAAAUAAAAGAACGUAGCAUCUAAAAAAACCCUAGCGAUCUCUUUUCAUCAGACGCCGCUUAACAUUUUCUCUCUCUUAAAAAACCCCUAGCAAUACUGCGAUACAGGGAAAGGGAAGGAGAAAAAAAACCCUAGCGAUCUCUUCUCAUCAGAGUUUGCGAUCCAAUGGAGAUUCAUACUGUCAGCCAUUGCCAUUCCCUGCCAAACUUAGACCACCGCAAUUGGCACUCGUCAAAGUUUAAUACGAUCGAAGUUUUUCAGUUUUUGCUGUUGCAGAUCACGAAUAGAGGUAUUGAGAUAUGGAGAUAGAUAUCGGUGCUACUCCGUGACCAUAAUCGGAAUUAAACACAGACUGACGAAAGGUACGCAUCAAUUCUCUGUGCUCGAAUUUGAAUUGAAAUUCGGAUGUUCAUUUGGAUGUUAUAUGUUGAUUAUUGAAAAAUCAGACCGACCUCUUCAUUUAAAAGGAACAUUGACAAGAUAAUUGAAAGAUAAAACCAUUUUACAGUUUAUUAUAGUUUGCUACUUAUCUCAUACUUCGUAUUACAUUUUGUUCAUUUACUGUAUUCCUAUUUCAAUUGGCUUUGAUUUGCAUGUUUUGCUUUGAUCAUCUAUUAUCUAAAACAAAAAAGUCUAAAACCCUUUUAAUGUUUGUGCUAAAAAGUCAUGUUCUCCAUGGAUCUUUAUUAUUAUGUUUGCUCUGUUUUGCAAUUGAUUAUUCCAGUACUCUGUUAUUUACUAAUUUGUUAAUUAUAUUUAUCCUUUGAUGACAUUAUAACUGAUAUUCAUUUGUGCUGUUAACUAUCAUUCUUAUCCAUUUGACUUCUACUCUUUUUAAUUCUAUAUUAAUUUGAUAAGAUUUUUUAAUGUUCCAAAUGAUAAACUCAGAUUGAAUGUAGGUCUGCCAAUAAUGUAGUUAUGUUUCCCAAUUUUCCUUGAACUAAUGUAAAUGACUCUGCAGUUUUUGUUAUCUUUGGUGCCGGAAGAUUAGGCUUUGCAAAAUCUGGGGCUAGGAGUUUAGCUGUUGUAAAUGAUAACGGUUUUGAGUAUGAUGAUAUUACUGUAUAUAAGGGCCAAUUCUAUGUGAUUGAUACAUUGGGAAACGUUUCGUGGAUCGAUAAUUCGUCAUUGAUAGAUACUUUAAUAAAGAAAGGAGGAGGGUAGAACAUACCAACCGGUAUGUUAGAGAUUGUGAUGUUCGCAAAGUGGUUGAUUUCAAAGUGUUUAGCAAAAAAAAAAAAAAAAACUAUUGAUGUAGAUAGUUUCCAUGCAAUUGAGAAUUUGUAAUGUAGUUUUGAAAGAGUAUCUCAAAAUGUGAAGUUGUAUUUCUAUUGUACAAUUUUAUUAUAUUUUCCCUUUUGACA